UAACACGUGGAUAACCUGCCCUUGGGUCCGGCAUAACCCCGGGAAACUGGGGAUAAUUCCGGAUAACGCACAUAUGCUGGAAUGCUUUAUGCGUCAAAUGGAUUCCUCCGCCCAAGGAUGGGUCUGCGGCCUAUCAGGUAGUAGUGGGUGUAAUGUACCUACUAGCCUACGACGGGUACGGGUUGUGAGAGCAAGAGCCCGGAGAUGGAUUCUGAGACAUGAAUCCAGGCCCUACGGGGCGCAGCAGGCGCGAAAACUUUACAAUGCGGGAAACCGUGAUAAGGGGACACCGAGUGCCAGCAUCAUAUGCUGGCUGUCCGGGUGUGUAAAAUACACCUGUUAGCAAGGGCCGGGCAAGACCGGUGCCAGCCGCCGCGGUAACACCGGCGGCCCGAGUGGUGAUCGUGAUUAUUGGGUCUAAAGGGUCCGUAGCCGGUUUGGUCAGUCCUCCGGGAAAUCUGACGGCUCAACCGUUAGGCUUUCGGGGGAUACUGCCAGACUUGGAACCGGGAGAGGUAAGAGGUAC
rnacentral:rRNA from 1 species